UGAAAUUCUGAUGAUGGUUGGAAUUGGUUCGAUUGUGUCUCAGAUGUUGGUGCUUCCAGUAAUCAAUCCAUUGGUUGGAGAGAAGGUGAUAUUGUGCAUGGGUUUACUUGCUUCAAUAGCUUAUGCAUUAUUUGACGGCCUUGCUUGGGCAGCAUGGGC